rnacentral:lncRNA from 1 species
ACAACAUCUACUUCAUAGUAAUAAUAGACUGGAAAAUAAUAAACAAAAUAUGAAAAUUAUUAAUUCUAAUCUUGAUGCAACACAGAUUAUAGAUUGAAAAAACAUCACGACCAAUCAAUUCGAUUAAACUCUAAUUUACAAGCCUAAUUCAAAAAUAAAUUGAGAAUAAAACCUACAGCUUGAAGAUUCAGGUGGUGAAGAAAAGGAAUGACAGCAAUGGUUGAUGAGUUGUAGUGUUAGACACCACAGUGGUGGUUGAGCUAGGGUGUCUCGUGGCAAAGCCAGUUGGCACCUAUAGUGGUGGUGAUAGAGCAAAGUUGGCCAGACAUAUUUAUUGUUGGAGAGAUCAGCAUCGAGAGUUUUUGUUGGUGGAGAAAUCAGCAAUUAAAGUUUUUGCAAGUGGAGAGAUUGGCAAUGAUCGAUGGUAGAUGAGUUCUUCGAAUUUUUAUUUUUUAGAUAGUAAUAAACCUGCAUAAACCCAACACCCUCUUGGUUUUACUUAAUGUUGGCAUUACUGCAUUUUAAUUUCGUCUGAUACAAUAUCUAACAAAAGCCAAACAUGGUAUAUAAUUAAUUUAAUGCAAUACUAAGUCCCAAUACAACAUUAUGAGGGGUGCCAAAUGUGCCCUUAUGGAUCAACUUGUAGAUGGUAUGUUUUGUAAAGUUUUAAUUUAAGUUUAUUUUUUAAGUUAUAUGAACCUUAUUCAAUUUGUUCAAUUUUUUAGCGUCUAGAACUUCAAAAAUCAACAAUGGCCGACCAACUUGGUAUUUCAACAUGAAAACUUCUAUUCAUUAUAAUAAAAUUUAGGUAAUAAAAUUAAUAUACAUCCACUUGUUAGUUAUUAAAUGUCACUUUAUUUUAUUUAGUUUAAUUGUUGGGUGCUUGGUUCACUUUGAUAUAGGUAACAUGGAUGGUGGAUAUAGUUGUGGCUUGUGUGUUAUUAUGGAGUUUUGUCAAAUGUUUAAGCAAUAUCAAUGGUAAUAUGAUAUUGCAGACUUUUGUUUUUGUUUUUGUUAUCAUGGAUUUAUAAUUGGGAAAAUAUCCACCGUCCACCCGUUUUUGACACCUUUUUCAAAAAUACACAAUUCUUUCAUUUUUUUGCUGGAAUCCACCUAAAGUUACAUUUUGUUUCACUUUUCCACUUCCGUUUGAAAUCCGUUAAGAAAACUAACGGAAAAUUAAUAAAAUGACCAUUUUACCCCCAAAACAAA